UUCCCGCCUGGUGCCAUCACCCCCUCCCUCCUUCCCCCUCUAUUCCUCCCAUCACACACACAGAAAUGGUCUCAACAGCGUGGGGCCAACGCAGAAGCGACCCGGCCCCCCCCGUUGGUAAGCGGUACCGUUGCUUUCGCUGCCUUCUACCGCCCAGGUUUCCCGUCUCGCGUGCCUGUGGUGUUGGGGCUUCUUAUUGGCAGAACUGUGCCCGGGAGGUACAGACAGCUUUUGCACUGGAACCUCAUUGGUGCCCACACGGAGGGGAGGAAGGGCUGCUAGCAGUACGCAUCAAUUACAGCUGUACGGGGGUGGACGCAAGACUUUACAGGUGUGCAUUGCCACAAAAAUUUUGUCGCGAUUUUGUUGCUACUUUAAACAGUAAGCCUUGUCAGUUCCCUUGCCCUGUGACUGCAGGCACUGUCAUUGUGGUAGGUGGUUUUAAAUGCUAGCCAUCCUGAACAUGUAAAGGUGUUUUGCAUCAUGCUUGCAUCAUGCUUGCAUCGUGUACCCUUUACCCACAAAGCCGAAAUGUUGCUCUUGGCAGUGAUGGCAGCUUUCCAAGUUGCCAUAGCUUUUCUCCACAGUGAGGUGGAUACCUCCUUCAAAAUAGUAUACAACAGUCUACUCAAGGCAGUCUGCAGAUGACCCCCACCACUUUUGUUUUUUGCUAGAUGCAUGUCGCACACUUGUGCAAUGCUGCAGAUCUUGCGGGCAACAAACUGCACAACCGUGAGGCACCCGUACAUUUUUGUACAAGAAAAGGUACCAAAAACUCGCGUAGCGAAUGAUGAGCUGGUGCCGCGUGAAGUGUGGGGUAACUCUGUCUACAAACAUGAACUAUGUGAUGGAUGGAUGGGUUACAUAUAUGUCAGGCUCCCUAAUUUGGAACAUGUGUCUGCAUGGCAAUGCAGUAUACAUUUGUAAUUGUGGCGAUAUACCUGAAGGUUCGGCAUACGUAUAAGCACCUGAAAAAAACACUAAGCAGGUACCCACUAAUGAAGUUCCAGUGCAUCAGCCCGUGUGUAUGGAAGGAGUUGUAGGGAAUGGUAGUGCAGUUGAGAGGUAGUCGCUGUGAGGCCUUCGUGGCACAAAAUGUGAGGCAGUCAGCGGCGAUGCUGGACAGAACAUCUCGUGCUCCUCCUAAGGUCUGGUAAGCUGGUGUGUAGGGUGCGGCUGUGAAUUUGUUCUUUAUGAUAUAGUGCUAGCUGUAUAUUUGAGCUCUGUAGCACUAAAUGUGUGUUUCAGAACCAUGCAGAAGGAUAGCAAAGCUGAAUUGGAUUUCAGAACCGUACAAAAGGGUAGACUGAAUCACUGCAUAAUUAUGUAGCUAUACAUUGCAUUCCUGUGCUGGCACGAACAGUGUGCCAUUUGGGUCAGCUGGACGUACUUGCAACAAUCUUUUGAAGGUUUGGGUACUCGCUGCACUUAAGCUAUGACCAGAAUGCUUGAUUCAUUGCAAGUAGUACAACUAUAGAUCAUCGGGACGCAAAAAUUUUAUACUUAAUUGAUAUGUUCUUUAAGGAGUGGUGUUUGAGCAGCUCAUUGGCAAUGAAGUCUAGUGUCCUUUUUUUGCUAGUAGCACUGUUCGUGUGCAGUGCUUUUGCUGCCAGGGCAUUUUCUGCUAGCCAGUUUUCCUGCUGUUAUCGCUAGUUUUCCGCCAGCUGAUAGCAGCACGUGUGAUGCAACUGUUGUCCCUAAUUUGGCUAAUCACUUCACUCCGACAGAUUAUUGCCUGUUGGCUUUGAAUGUUCCUGUGACCGCUUUGCAACUCUGCUCACAUAGCAGGCUGCAGAAUGUCACUGUAACUAGGGUUUUCGAUUAGUUUCCAAACCCUGCACCUGUUCUUGACUUUCAUUUGACAUGCCAGAUUUCAGCUACUUGAAGUAAAGCUAAGUAAGGUUUUACAGAAUCGUUAUUUCUACGCGGCUCCGUUGUUCGAUGAUAGCUUUGAUUGUGGCCUUAAGUUGUAAAAUCCGAGUUCCAUUUGUAGGUGGCUCCGUUCGAUGAUAGCUUGUAGUUUGACUUCAAAUUGUAAUAUCUGAGUUCCACAUGUUACUUUUGUUGUUAAGAUAACUUUGUAGCAGUAAAACUGCUCUAUGGUGGCAUGACACUAUUCCAUGUACUUUUGUAUCUAAAACACUUAAGACGAUGCCAAGUGUUGGUGCAUAGAUUUGUUUCUUAAGUGGAAAGAUUGGUAUCAGCUAUUUGACCACAUCCUUCUGUGGAGGCUUCCUUGAUGUAGGUUUUUGCUCAACUAUAAUAGCAGCAUAUCUUGAUCCUUUUGUACAGAGGCACUAGGGAUUUUGGCCGAGUGUCUUUUAAUGGACCUACUUGGGCUGUCUCGACCUGUUUUGUCUUGGCCAUCUUUACGGUAUGUGUUAUCGACAGCAUGAUUACUGUUUGCGUAACACAUUGGGGGAUUGUGUACUCAAUGGGGCAAGCAGAUUUCUACGAAUGCAAAAAUACUUGUGUGUAAUGCUCUGGGUUCAGAUUAAUGAAACCAAGGUCCUGAAAACUAACCUAGAGCACUACACUGCGGCAACGCUAGGUUGUACUGCCCUGGAAUGACAAAUUUUAAACCACAUCCAUUAGUGAAGCUUUGGCUUUGGUUGAACCGUUAUGACUUCGGACUUAGGCUCUGAAUGGUAGCAGUGCAAGUGCUGCGAGGCCCAAUUUGUGUAGGCCGCAUACUAGUGCAGGUCGCUCAGUGCUUGUGGAUUCUUUUCAGCAGAUGGUAGCGUAGACAGAUGUUAGGGUAGGUCCUUUAGAGCAGUAAUGGAGCAGAUUGAAGCAAGUUCCUCAGCUUUUGUCUUCUACUUGGGGUCUUUAGCCUAUUUGCAGGUGAAACGGGGUUCUCCAUUGUCAGUUCGUCCAUUAGUUGAGGUACAGGUGCGCUGUGCUAAGCUUUGCACUUAGUUUGCAGCAUGCAGCUUGGAAAAUAGGAAGAAAAAGGCACUCGCUACUCGGCCCAAUGGACCAUCCAGGUCCUCGUUUGGGCCAGCCCCAGCAAAGCCAGGCUUUCACAGCACAAGCGCGUGUGGAAGACGAGCGGUCAAUUGGAUGAAAGCAGCCGUCGAGACCUCGGAUGAUGCUCUCCUUACUGCUUGCGGGAGCUGUUUCUCUUGGAAGUUCAGCGGCCCACAGUGGCGGCUGCCUCGAUCCCAGCGCCGGUGUGUCCCCAGACCUCGGCGCUGUGAGCUUGCGAUGUUUGAACCCGCAAUAAAGCGCCCGUUCUUUGCAACAAA